ACUUCAGCCAUUCGGUAAGCGGCCCUGAAAAGGCCGGCGUCGGCGGUUCGAUUCCGUCCCUGGCCACCA
rnacentral:tRNA from 1 species